rnacentral:rRNA from 1 species
AUGGCUCAGAUUGAACGCUGGCGGCAGGCCUAACACAUGCAAGUCGAGCGGUAGCACAGGAGAGCUUGCUCUCUGGGUGACGAGCGGCGGACGGGUGAGUAAUGUCUGGGAAACUGCCCGAUGGAGGGGGAUAACUACUGGAAACGGUAGCUAAUACCGCAUAACGUCUUCGGACCAAAGAGGGGGACCUUCGGGCCUCUUGCCAUCGGAUGUGCCCAGAUGGGAUUAGCUAGUAGGUGGGGUAAUGGCUCACCUAGGCGACGAUCCCUAGCUGGUCUGAGAGGAUGACCAGCCACACUGGAACUGAGACACGGUCCAGACUCCUACGGGAGGCAGCAGUGGGGAAUAUUGCACAAUGGGCGCAAGCCUGAUGCAGCCAUGCCGCGUGUAUGAAGAAGGCCUUCGGGUUGUAAAGUACUUUCAGCGAGGAGGAAGGCGUUGCGGUUAAUAACCGCAGCGAUUGACGUUACUCGCAGAAGAAGCACCGGCUAACUCCGUGCCAGCAGCCGCGGUAAUACGGAGGGUGCAAGCGUUAAUCGGAAUUACUGGGCGUAAAGCGCACGCAGGCGGUCUGUCAAGUCGGAUGUGAAAUCCCCGGGCUCAACCUGGGAACUGCAUUCGAAACUGGCAGGCUAGAGUCUUGUAGAGGGGGGUAGAAUUCCAGGUGUAGCGGUGAAAUGCGUAGAGAUCUGGAGGAAUACCGGUGGCGAAGGCGGCCCCCUGGACAAAGACUGACGCU